GUAAACCACCCUGUAAUCUUUGGAUGAAGGACAGCAUGGAAAUAUUAUUAUUAUUAUUAUUAUUAUUAUUAUUAUUAUUAUUAUUAAUUUCCAUGCUGUCCUUCAUCCAAAGAUUACAGGGUGGUUUAC